rnacentral:rRNA from 1 species
AACGAACGCUGGCGGCAUGCCUAACACAUGCAAGUCGAACGAGACCUUCGGGUCUAGUGGCGCACGGGUGCGUAACGCGUGGGAACCUGCACUUAGGUUCGGAAUAACUCCCCGAAAGGGGUGCUAAUACCGGAUAAUGUCUUCGGACCAAAGAUUUAUCGCCUUUGGAUGGGCCCGCGUUGGAUUAGCUGGUUGGUAGGGUAAAAGCCUACCAAGGCGACGAUCCAUAGCUGGUCUGAGAGGAUGAUCAGCCACACUGGGACUGAGACACGGCCCAGACUCCUACGGGAGGCAGCAGUGGGGAAUAUUGGACAAUGGGCGAAAGCCUGAUCCAGCAAUGCCGCGGAAGUGAUGAAGGCCUUAGGGUUGUAAAGCUCUUUUACCCGGGAUGAUAAUGACAGUACCGGGAGAAUAAGCUCCGGCUAACUCCGUG